rnacentral:rRNA from 1 species
GAUGAACGCUGGCGGCGUGCUUAACACAUGCAAGUCGAACGAAGCACUUUUAUUUGAUUUCUUCGGAAUGAAGAUUUUAGUGACUGAGUGGCGGACGGGUGAGUAACGCGUGGGUAACCUGCCUCAUACAGGGGGAUAACAGUUGGAAAUGACUGCUAAUACCGCAUAAGACCACAGUACCGCAUGGUGCAGGGGUAAAACUCCGGUGGUAUGAGAUGGACCCGCGUCUGAUUAGGUAGUUGGUGGGGUAACGGCCUACCAAGCCGACGAUCAGUAGCCGGACUGAGAGGUUGAACGGCCACAUUGGGACUGAGACACGGCCCAG